GCACAAGCAGCGGAGCGUGUGGUUUAAUUCGAAGCAACGCGAAGAACCUUACCAGAUCUUGACAUCCAAUUGACCAUCUUUUAAUCGAGAUUUUGCCUUCGGGUACAAUUGAGACAGGUGGUGCAUGGUUGUCGUCAGCUCGUGUCGUGAGAUGUUGGGUUAAGUCCCGCAACGAGCGCAACCCUUUGUGUUUAGUUGCAAACAGGUCAAGCUGUGCACUCUAGACAGACUGCCGUGGACAACACGGAGGAAGGUGGGGAUGACGUCAAAUCAUCAUGCCCCUUAUGAUCUGGGCUACACACGUGCUACAAUGGCCGGUACAACGGGCAGCGAAGGAGCGAUCCGGAGCGAAUCCUAAAAAGCCGGUCCCAGUUCGGAUUGCAGGCUGAAACUCGCCUACAUGAAGUUGGAGUUGCUAGUAAUCGCGAAUCAGAAUGUCGCGGUGAAUGCGUUCCCGGGUCUU
rnacentral:rRNA from 1 species